rnacentral:rRNA from 1 species
UACGUAGGGGGCAAGCGUUGUCCGGAAUUAUUGGGCGUAAAGCGCGUGUAGGCGGUCCGGUAAGUCGGCUGUGAAAGUCCAGGGCUCAACCCUGGGAUGCCGGUCGAUACUGCCGGACUAGAGUUCGGAAGAGGCGAGUGGAAUUCCAGGUGUAGCGGUGAAAUGCGUAGAUAUCUGGAGGAACACCGGUGGCGAAGGCGACGUCCUGGACCGGCAUUGACGCUGAGGCGCGAAAGCCAGGGGAGCAAACGGG